rnacentral:rRNA from 1 species
AUUGAACGCUGGCGGCAGGCCUAACACAUGCAAGUCGAGCGAGCGGCGGACGGGUGAGUAAUGUCUGGGAAACUGCCUGAUGGAGGGGGAUAACUACUGGAAACGGUAGCUAAUCCCGCAUACCACCGGUGUUCCCAGAAGGGGUUAGCUGGUGGGUGGGGUAACGGCUAACCUAGGCGACGAUCCCUAGCUGGUCUGAGAGGAUGACCAGCCACACUGGAACUGAGACACGGUCCAGACUCCUACGGGAGGCAGCAGUGGGGAAUAUUGCACAAUGGGCGCAAGCCUGAUGCAGCCAUGCCGGGUGUGUGAAGAAGGCCUUCGGGUUGUAAAGCACUUUCAGCGGGGAGGCGUUACCCGCAGAAGAAGCACCGGCUAACUCCGUGCCAGAGCCGCGGUAAUAC